rnacentral:rRNA from 1 species
UGGGCCAACGAUGUCACUAGCUGUUGGGGCCUUCGGGCCUUGGUAGCGCAGCUAACGCGUGAAGUUGACCGCCUGGGGAGUACGGUCGCAAGAUUAAAACUCAAAGGAAUUGACGGGGACCCGCACAAGCGGGGGAUGAUGUGGAUUAAUUCGAUGCAACGCGAAAAACCUUACCUACCCUUGACAUGUCUGGAAUGCCGAAAAAAUUUGGCAGUGCUCGCAAAAAAACCGGAACACAGGUGCUGCAUGGCUGUCGUCAGCUCGUGUCGUGAGAUGUUGGGUUAAGUCCCGCAACGAGCGCAACCCUUGUCAUUAGUUGCUACGAAAGGGCACUCUAAUGAGACUGCCGGUGACAAACCGGAGGAAGGGGGGGAUGACGUCAAGUCCUCAUGGCCCUUAUGGGUAGGGCUUCACACGUCAUACAAUGGUCGGGACAGAGGGUCGCCAACCCGCGAGGGGGAGCCAAUCCCAGAAACCCGAUCGUAGUCCGGAUCGCAGUCUGCAACUCGACUGCGGGAAGUCGGAAUCCCUAGUAAUCGCGGAUCAGCAUGUCGCGGUGAAUACGUUCCCGGGUCUUGUACACACCGCCCGUCACACCAUGGGAGUGGGUUUUACCACAAGUAGUUAUCCUAACCGCAAGGAGGGCGAUUACCACGGUAGGAUUCAUGACUGGGGUAAAAUCGUAACAAGGUAGC